CUUGAUAAGAGCUGACAAACGUUAGUCACUGUUCUAGUCUUACACAGCCAGAGUCACCUCGAGUGUCUCCUGGGAGGCGCACAUCAGGUCCUGGAAGCUGUCUUCAUCCUUCUCACAUCUGUGGCUUCUAGAUGCCAAGAUUACGGUGUGUCUGGCAAUGGACAGUGACAUAAGAUCAACACGUGAUGCUUGGGGUGCCUUACCAUCAGGGUUCUUUUUCAUAUCACACUGGUCUCUUGAACCACUUGAGUGAAUGACAAACUAGGAUUGUCAUGGCCACAAAACACAUGAUGACCUCAUGGGAUCCUUCAGCACUAAGAAGGGUCAAAACACUCAAGAGAAGCAGUGUAAAGAUUUCAAAGACCGUUGGGGAGGUUCAGGUCCACAGUGGCCGGAGUCUGUGGCUGCUGCUACCGCAUCCUGCUGGAUCCUGAAGCAAAAUGUUUGAGCUGGAACCAGAAGUAGAUGCCACCGUCAAGGAGGACCCCCGGAGACCUACUUCUGUUAGCUAGGCGGGGCUUCCACCGUCUCCCGAACACCACCACAAGUGGGGGAGCAGGGUUUAGACCCAUGCGCAGGCAAAGAGUUCUACCCGAACCCUAACAGUUGUGCUCACGCGAACCAUUUGACUUCGUUGUAUCUUGUUUUAGUCUUCUAUAAAAUAUGAGUAACACUUGAGCGAACUUGAGAUGUGAAGAUUAACCCAGUGACAGUAAUAAGUGUGUUGAUAUAUUCGACUAGAGGCUAAUAAAGGAAGGGAUUAUAGGGCAAGGCUCGUGUGUAUCAUAUCCUGUCCCGGAGAAUGCUGUCACUUGCAUUUUAGCUAAAGGCAGUUAUUCAAACGGGGCAAGAGCGCUGAUGCUCAGAAUUGGCAGCAGGUUAGAAUAAGUCAGCAUUUUUCAUGAAAACUGGGUCACGUGGUCUUUAAAAAAAAAAA